rnacentral:rRNA from 1 species
GACGAACGCUGGCGGCGUGCUUAACACAUGCAAGUCGAGCGAAGUAUUCAAGAUAGAUUUCUUCGGAUUGAAGUCUUGAAUAUCUUAGCGGCGAACGGGUGAGUAACGCGUGAGAAACCUGCCUUUCACAAAGGGAUAGCCUCGGGAAACUGGGAUUAAUACCUUAUGAUACUUACAUUUCACAUGAGAAGUAAGUUAAAGCGCAAAGCGGUGAAAGAUGGUCUCGCGUCCCAUUAGUUAGUUGGUGAGGUAACGGCUCACCAAGACCGCGAUGGGUAGCCGGCCUGAGAGGGUGAACGGCCACACUGGAACUGAGACACGGUCCAGACUCCUACGGGAGGCAGCAGUGGGGAAUAUUGCACAAUGGAGGAAACUCUGAUGCAGCGACGCCGCGUGAGUGAAGAAGGCCUUCGGGUCGUAAAACUUUGUCCUAGGGGACGAUAAUGACGGUACCCUAGGAGGAAGCCCCGGCUAACUACGUGCCAGCAGCCGCGGUAAGCAUACUCGUA